rnacentral:rRNA from 1 species
UACGUAGGUGGCAAGCGUUGUCCGGAUUUACUGGGCGUAAAGAGCGCGCAGGCGGUCGUUUAAGUCGGAUGUGAAAGCCCCCGGCUCAACUGGGGAGGGUCAUUCGAUACUGAUCGACUUGAAGGCAGGAGAGAGAAGUGGAAUUCCCGGUGUAGUGGUGAAAUGCGUAGAUAUCGGGAGGAACACCAGUGGCGAAGGCGACUUCUUGGCCUGUUCUUGACGCUGAGGCGCGAAAGCUGGGGGAGCAAACGGG